GUAGGGAAUAUUGGGCAAUGGAGGCAACUCUGACCCAGCCAUGCCGCGUGCAGGAAGACGGUCCUCUGGAUUGUAAACUGCUUUUGAAUGGGAAGAAACGUAGCUUUGCGAAGCUAUUUGACGGUACUAUUAGAAUAAGCACCGGCUAACUCCGUGCCAGCAGCCGCGGUAAUACGGAGGGUGCAAGCGUUAUCCGGAUUUAUUGGGUUUAAAGGGUGCGUAGGCGGCUUUAUAAGUCUGGGGUUAAAGGCGGCAGCUUAACUGUACGCAUGCCCUGGAAACUGUGAAGCUUGAGUGACUUGGAGGUAGCUAGAAUUCCCUGUGUAGCGGUGAAAUGCAUAGAUACGGGGAGGAAUACCGAUUGCGAAGGCAUGUUACUACGAGUAAACUGACGCUGAUGCACGAAAGCGUGGGGAUCAAACAGGAUUAGAUACCCGAGUAGUCC
rnacentral:rRNA from 1 species